CUUGACGAUCAUAGAGCGUUGGAACCACCUGAUCCCUUCCCGAACUCAGACGUGAAACGACGCAUCGCCGAUGGUAGUGUGGGGUCUC
rnacentral:rRNA from 1 species